UAUUUUGGAACAGUAGAGGUAGAAAAUCUUCUCUGGUGGUUUUGUUUCGAAUCUUUGGAGGACCAAACAACACGACUUAAAUAAUGUGUUAAAAGGCCAUAGGAAUGAUAGUUAAACAUUUGUCUCACAUUCGUAAAAUAGAAAUACCAUCAGCUGAUAUCAAAAGUACACCGUUCCUUCUGCGUUAAAUGCUCCUGAAGUCAUCAUUUUGAUGCCAUGGUAAAGGAUUGCAUUGGUCCAAAGAGCAUCUGAGCUACAGUCAUUAUCAUGGAACAAAAAAGGCUUUCAGAAUAAGUCACUUGCCCAUACACAUGAGUGCUGUGUUCCCCAUGCGCUGGGCCAAGCGCCAUGCCUGACCGGGACAGCACCUACCUGUCAGGUGGUGGUGGGAGCAGCGGCGGGGUGGGUACUAGUGUGAGCGAGGAAGUGGGGUCUGGUUUAGGAGGGGGCACGGGAGAAGGCCGGGGGGGAUCCGCAGGAGGUGAAGACAGUGGCUCUGGUUCUGGGGGCAUGGGUGGAGGAGGGGCCCUGGGGAAUGGGAACAACUGCGGGGGAGGUGGAGCCGGGGGCCCGGGGUCAGAACCGGCCCCGGACGGGGUCUGCAGAGACUUCUUGAGGAACGUGUGUAAGAGGGGCAAACGCUGCCGCUUCAAACACCCCGACUUCAACGAGGUGCCAGACCUCGGGGUGCAGAAGAACGAGUUUGUAUUCUGCCACGACUACCAGAACAAGGAGUGUGUCCGCUCCAACUGCCGCUUCGUCCACGGCUCCAAGGAGGAUGAGGACUACUAUAAGAAGUCAGGGGAGCUGCCCCUCAGGUUGAGGGGGAAAGUAGCUGCAGGACUGGGCCUGUCCCCCAUGGACCUCCCCCACAGCCGAGGGGAGGUCCCCAUCUGCAGGGACUUUCUGAAGGGUGAGUGCCAGCGGGGCAACAAGUGUAAGUUCCGCCACGUCAAGAAGGACAACGAGUACGAGCCGGCAAGAGUGGGUGUGGGGAGCGUGUUGGGCCCAGGGGCCAAUGGGAUGGUGAACACAGGCGGGGGGGUCGGAUGGGUUGGGGUGGGUGCCUGUGGAGGCAUGGCUGGACUGGUUGGGGGUGGAGGUGGGGGCAACAUGAUGGGGAUGGGCUGCCCCAGCCUUGGGGGUUGCAGAGACCCGGGUAUCUUAGGGGUGGGAGGAGUAGGGGUAAGUGGGAUUGGGGGUUGCAUCUCCAUGGGGGCCUCAGGACCUCGUCGUUUUGACAGGGACCCCUGCUCGGCGUACGACCCCCUGUUUGAGAGCGGUAUGUAUGAGACAUUGCCCCUGGAAGCCCCUGUGGACCACACAAUGCUGCAGCUGAAGAGACGCAGGCUGGAGGGUCUCCGGCUGGACGGGAACGGAGGGGGGCACUAUGAGCUGGGGGUGCAGGCGGCCCUCUCACCCCGGCCCCUGGAGUACAGGUUUCUGGAGGAGGAAAACACCCUGCUGAGGAGGAGAGUGGAUGAAUUGAAGAAACAGGUGUCAAACCUCAUGGCCACCAACGAGGUGCUGCUGGAGCAGAAUGCCCAGUUCCGGAGCCAGACCAAGGUGUCGGUGAUGACCCUGUCCUCCACCCCAGCCCCCUCUGAGCAGACCAUGGCGUCCCCCGUGGGCUCAGUCAGUUCCUACAACCACAGCAUCGCCCAGACCCAUACCACCCUGAGCAGCGCCGGGCUGCAGCCUCGUACCGUCACCCUCACACAGCAGGACCUAGUGGCCCCCACCGGUGCCCCUACAGUGCCCCCAUCUAAUGCUGCCCCAUCCAGUGCUCCCCUGCCCCACCUCAACCCCGAGAUCACCCCGCUCUCAGCCGCCCUGGUUCAGACCAUCGCCCAGGGCAUGGUGCCUCCCGUCUCCAUGGCACCCGUCACUGUUUCAGUGGCGCCGGUGGCUGUAUCCAUGGCACAGCCUCUGCCUGGCAUCACUAUAAGCCAUGCCACCAGCCCCAUGGUGUCAUACCCUAUCGCCAGCCAGAGUAUGAGGAUCACCACCAUACCUCACUGAUGCAGCACACUCUCUAGGACCCUCCCAUGGAACUAAAGAUGGAAUUCUACAUACCAUCCCUCUGCUGAAUGACUUGAGGGGAGACAUUGAGGUGGGUGAUCCCUAAUGCCCACAUGCCAUGGGCAGAGAAAAGGUUAAUGAUGAUAGGAUGCCUUCACCACACAAACCCUGCUCUGUGGCAGCGUUGCAGGUAGUCCUCUGAGGUGACCUUUGAACUUGUUAAAGCCUAAACUCAGUUGAGCCUAAACAAAGGUAAGUCUACCAUGAAGGGAAUGGGUAAGCUUGGAAUAGAAACACCUUUAGUAAACAUGUUUUUGAUCAAUUCCAAAUGUACUCAUCGUUUUAUACAUUUGUAAUUUAGCAGAGGCUCUUAUCCAGAGCGACUUAGUUAGUGCAUUCAUCUUAAGAUAGCUAGGUGGGCCAACCACAUUUCAGUCAUAGCUACUUUGAGGUAAAAUGUACUUACUAUCUGUAAAGUCAGUGCCCAGGUGGUUCCACCUUGGGGUGCCAGGACAGAGAAAAGCUUUGACUGAGCUGGAGCUGCCCUCCCGUAGGGGUGGGAGGGCCAAGAGACCAGAGGUGGCAGAACGGAGUACUUGGGUUGGGGUGUAGGGUAUCAGAAUAGUGUGCUUCACGGUGUACUUCUACACCUGCAUUGCUUGCUGUUUGGGGUUUUAGGCUGGGUUUCUGUACAGCACUUUGUGACAUCAGCUGAUGUAAGAAGGGCUUUAUAAUAAAUUAGAUUGAUGAUUGAUUGAGCCUGAAGGUAAAGAGUGACAGUUCCUCUUGCUGCUCCGUAGGCAAGUACCUUGUAGUGGAUACGAGCUUUGACUGGAAGCCAGUGGAGUGUACGAGGAGCGGGGUGACAUGGGAGAACUUGGGAAGGUUGAACACCAUGCGGGCUGCGGCAUUCUGAUACCUUGUAACUGGAGAUUCCUUCAAAACGAUUGCCUGGAGUUAACGUG